CCAAGAAGCAGGCGUCUUUUAAUUUCGUGACUGCUGUCACCAUCUGCAGUGAUCAUGGAGCCCAAAAAAGUAAAAUCUCUCACUGCCUCCAUUUCUUCCCCUUCUAUUUGCCAGGAGGUGAUGGGCCCAGUGGCCAUGAUCUUCGGUUUUUUGAUGUUGAGCUUCAGACCAUAUUUUGCGCUCUCCUCUUUCACCCUCAUUAAAA